CGCCCUUAGAGUUUGAUCAUGGCUCAGAUUGAACGCUGGCGGCAGGCCUAACACAUGCAAGUCGGACGGUAAGAGAGCUUGCUCUCGACGAGUGGCGGACGGGUGAGUAAUGUCUGGGAAACUGCCCGAUGGAGGGGGAUAACUACUGGAAACGGUAGCUAAUACCGCAUAACGCCGCAAGACCAAAGUGGUUCGUCACACCAUCGGAUGUGCCCAGAUGGGAUUAGCUAGUAGGUGGGGUAACGGCUCACCUAGGCGACGAUCCCUAGCUGGUCUGAGAGGAUGACCAGCCACACUGGAACUGAGACACGGUCCAGACUCCUACGGGAGGCAGCAGUGGGGAAUAUUGCACAAUGGGCGCAAGCCUGAUGCAGCCAUGCCGCGUGUAUGAAGAAGGCCUCCGGGUUGUAAAGUACUUUCAGCGGGGAGGAAGGGGGCGAAGUAAUCUUCGUUCUUGACGUUACCCGCAGAAGAAGCACCGGCUAACUCCGUGCCAGCAGCCGCGGUAAUACGGAGGGUGCAAGCGUUAAUCGGAAUUACUGGGCGUAAGCGCAC
rnacentral:rRNA from 1 species